CAUGAAAUAAACCCAAUAGGCUGGUUCUGCUUCCAAUAAGGAUUAAUUAUAUCUUAGUUGGGAUCAAGUACAAGUUACUGUUUUAUUAUUACAGAGACAAGGGAAAUCUUUUUUAACACUUUUGGAUUAUUAGUUUAAAAGUGUCAUCACUUUCAUUUCAGUUGUCCCAGGACUACCAAAAAUACUUUAAAAUAUUCUAUGGGUAGACUUUGGUUAAGGUUUCUGGUUCCUGACACCCAACUCUUUCCAACUGUCAGUUAAUUUCCAAGAUUUACUUUCCAAUACAAUCACCCAAACUAUUGGAUGAGAUUAUGCAUCUCCAUUUAUCUAAAUUAUAUUCUAUGGAUAGACUUUGGUCAAGGUUUCUGGUUCCUGACACUCAACUCUUUCCAACUGUCAGUUAAUUUCCAAGAUUUACUUCCCAAUACAACCACCCAAACUAUUGGAUGAGAUUAUGCAUCUCCAUUUAUCUAAAUUAUAUUCUAUGGAUAGACUUUGGUUAAGGUUUCUGGUUCCUGACACCCAACUCUUUCCAACUGUCAGUUAAUUUCCAAGAUUCGCUUCCGAAUACAAUCACCCAAACUAUUGGAUGAGAUUAUACAUCUCCAUUUAUCUAAAUUAUAUUCUAUGGAUAGACUUUGGUCAAGGUUUCUGGUUCCUGACACCCAACUCUUUCCAACUGUCAGUUAAUUUCCAAGAUUUACUUCCCAAUACAAUCACCCAAACUAUUGGAUGAGAUUAUGCAUCUCCAUUUAUCUAAAUUAUAUUCUAUGGAUAGAUUUUGGUCAAGGUUUCUGGUUCCUGACACCCAACUCUUUCCAACUGUCAGUUAAUUUCCAAGAUUUACUUCCCAAUACAACCACCCAAACUAUUGGAUGAGAUUAUGCAUCUCCAUUUAUCUAAAUUAUAUUCUAUGGAUAGACUUUGGUCAAGGUUUCUGGUUCCUGACACCCAACUCUUUCCAACUGUCAGUUAAUUUCCAAGAUUCGCUUCCGAAUACAAUCACCCAAACUAUUGGAUGAGAAUAUACAUCUCCGUUUAUCUAAAUUAUAUUCUAUGGAUAGACUUUGGUCAAGGUUUCUGGUUCAUGUCACUCAACUCUUUCCAACUGUCAAUUUCCAAGAUUCACUUCCCAAUACAAACACCCAAACUAUUGGAUGAGAUUAUACAUCUCCAUUUAUUUAAAUUCAUAGUUCUAAUAUUGACAAAAUGAUCAAAUCAGCCUAUCGCUAUUUUAAUGAUCAUUAAUUAACCAUUUCUUAAUUCUGUUCUUCGUAGAGCUGUAAGGACCCCACCCCCUUUCAAAAUGCACGUAUUGUAUAUUAAAGUCCAAAGCUAUGUACAAAGUAGGAGGUUACUUUUUUUUGUAUUUCUUAAGUUCAAUGAUUUUUUUUAUGACUAUUUAUUUUAUGAAUAAAUGUAUAUAUUAGUGAGAGUAUAUAUUUUCAGAAAUAACUUGUUGGGACAGUGUUGAUAUUGCACUCUUACUGUUGUCUUGACCUCAAGUCUUACUCCGGCUUUUGCUGACAGCACAGUAGACGUGGCUUCAUGUUUAUACCUGUUUUGUAAAGAAAGUCGCUAGAUGUGUUAACUCUAUAAUGAUAAUUAAAUAUGUAUUAAUUUUC